AGUGAACGCUGGCGGCAGGCCUAACACAUGCAAGUCGAACGGCAGCACAGUAAGAGCUUGCUCUUACGGGUGGCGAGUGGCGGACGGGUGAGGAAUACAUCGGAAUCUACUUUUUCGUGGGGGAUAACGUAGGGAAACUUACGCUAAUACCGCAUACGACCUACGGGUGAAAGCAGGGGAUCUUCUGACCUUGCGCGAUUGAAUGAGCCGAUGUCGGAUUAGCUAGUUGGCGGGGUAAAGGCCCACCAAGGCGACGAUCCGUAGCUGGUCUGAGAGGAUGAUCAGCCACACUGGAACUGAGACACGGUCCAGACUCCUACGGGAGGCAGCAGUGGGGAAUAUUGGACAAUGGGCGCAAGCCUGAUCCAGCCAUACCGAGUGGGUGAAGAAGGCCUUCGGGUUGUAAAGCCCUUUUGUUGGGAAAGAAAAGCAGCAGGUUAAUACCCCGCUGUUCUGACGGUACCCAAAGAAUAAGCACCGGCUAACUUCGUG
rnacentral:rRNA from 1 species